CGAGCUUCCUGAGUCCGGAGCGCGAUGGUGUGAAGUAAAUCUUCACUUUAGCCUCUUCUCCCGGCUCCACCGACUGUCCCAGGCUGAAAGGUCAACAUUUCAAAGUUACAGUCAAUUCUGCUGAUGGAUUAAGAAUGUGAUGGUGUCAUGCUUCAGUGAUGGGGGCAAGAGUCAGUUUUUCCCAGUAAUUAUACUGUAUUUCGCCAUGAACUAUCAAAAAGCCCAGCCCCACACUCACCUGAGCACCAGGGGUUGAAGAGCAGGAUGAGUUGGAUGUCUACAGAUGAGCCCAG